GCCCUGCUGGCACAAUUGGUUAGCGCGUGGGCCUUUUAUGCAGAUGAUUCAAUUCUUCAGCUAAAAGACAAGCCCAAGGUUCAGGGUUCGAGACCCUGGUGGGGCG
rfam:Pseudogymnoascus sp. 23342-1-I1 unplaced genomic scaffold scaffold_21, whole genome shotgun sequence.